CCUACGGGAGGCAGCAGUGAGGAAUAUUGGUCAAUGGGCUUACGCCUGAACCAGCCAAGUCGCGUGAGGGAAGACUGCCCUAUGGGUUGUAAACCUCUUUUGUCAGGGAGCAACGCCGGCUACGUGUAGCCGGACUGAGAGUACCUGAAGAAACAGCAUCGGCUAACUCCGUGCCAGCAGCCGCGGUAAUACGGAGGAUGCGAGCGUUAUCCGGAUUUAUUGGGUUUAAAGGGUGCGUAGGCGGAAUGCCAAGUCAGCGGUAAAAGCGCGGGGCUCAACCUCGCUCCGCCGUUGAAACUGGCGUUCUUGAGUGGGCGAGAAGUAUGCGGAAUGCGUGGUGUAGCGGUGAAAUGCAUAGAGAUCACGCAGAACUCCGAUUGCGAAGGCAGCAUACCGGCGCCCAACUGACGCUGAAGCACGAAAGCGUGGGUAUCGAACAGGAUUAGAUACCCCUGUAGUC
rnacentral:rRNA from 1 species